UACAGAGGGUGCGAGCGUUAAUCGGAAUUACUGGGCGUAAAGCGUGCGUAGACGGUUAUUUAAGUCGGGUGUGAAAGCCCCGGGCUCAACCUGGGAAUUGCAUUCGAGACUGAAUAGCUAGGGUACGGUAGAGGGAAGCGGAAUUUCCGGUGUAGCGGUGAAAUGCGUAGAUAUCGGAAGGAACACCAGUGGCGAAGGCGACUACCUGGCCUGUUUCUUGACGCUGAGGCGCGAAAGCUAGGGGAGCAAACGGG
rnacentral:rRNA from 1 species